rnacentral:rRNA from 1 species
CGGACGGGUGAGUAAUGUCUGGGGAACUGCCCGAUGGAGGGGGAUAACUACUGGAAACGGUAGCUAAUACCGCAUAACGUCGCAAGACCAAAGAGGGGGACCUUAGGGCCUCUUGCCAUCGGAUGUGCCCAGAUGGGAUUAGCUAGUAGGUGGGGUAACGGCUCACCUAGGCGACGAUCCCUAGCUGGUCUGAGAGGAUGACCAGCCACACUGGAACUGAGACACGGUCCAG